UCUGAAGAGCAAGCGCGUCUGCAGAUGCAGCAGCUGCAGCAGAACAACAUCGUUUACUUCGAUCUCGACAAGUACGAUAUCCGUUCUGACUUCGCGGCAAUGCUGGAUGCGCACGCUAACUUCCUGCGUAGCAACCCGUCUUACAAAGUCACCGUAGAAGGUCACGCGGACGAACGCGGUACUCCGGAGUACAACAUCUCCCUGGGUGAGCGUCGUGCUAACGCCGUUAAAAUGUACCUGCAGGGUAAAGGCGUUUCCGCUGACCAGAUCUCCAUCGUUUCUUACGGUAAAGAAAAACCUGCCGUACUGGGCCACGACGAAGCGGCUUACGCUAAGAACCGUCGCGCUGUACUGGUUUACUAAGAGAAUUGCAUGAGCAGUAACUUCAGACAUCACCUGUUGAGUCUGUCGUUACUGGUUGGCAUAGCGGCCCCCUGGGCCGCUUUUGCUCAGGCGCCAAUCAGUAGUGUCGGCUCAGGCUCGGUCGAAGACCGCGUCACUCAACUUGAGCGUAUCUCUAACGCUCACAGCCAGCUUUUAACCCAACUUCAGCAGCAGCUCUCCGAUAAUCAGUCCGAUAUCGAUUCUUUGCGCGGCCAAAUCCAGGAAAAUCAGUAUCAACUGAAUCAGGUGAUGGAGCGCCAGAAGCAAAUUAUGCUGCAGCUGGGGAGCUUAAAUAAUGGCGGCGCAGCGCAGCCAGCAGCUGGUGACCAGAGCGGGGCGGCAACCACUGCGACCCCCGCCCCGGAUGCCGGUACGGCAACCUCAGGGGCGCCGGUACAAAGUGGCGAUGCGAAUACCGAUUACAAUGCGGCAAUUGCGCUGGUGCAGGAUAAGUCUCGCCAGGAUGAUGCGAUUGUGGCGUUUCAGAACUUCAUCAAGAAAUACCCUGAUUCUACUUAUCAGCCGAACGCCAAUUAUUGGCUGGGCCAGUUGAAUUACAACAAGGGUAAAAAAGAUGACGCCGCCUAUUAUUUCGCCUCGGUAGUAAAAAACUAUCCUAAGUCGCCGAAGGCUGCGGACGCGAUGUACAAAGUUGGCGUUAUCAUGCAGGACAAAGGUGAUACGGCAAAAGCGAAAGCAGUUUAUCAGCAGGUGAUUAACAAAUAUCCAGGCACUGAUGGCGCGAAACAGGCGCAGAAGCGUCUUAACGCGAUGUAAUGCGUACCAUGCGACCAGAAAACGCCUUUUUUCUGGUCGCGUCGUGCGAUUCCUAAGCAGUUGAGCCCUCUGCGUCGAAAUUUUUGUUGCGCUCAAAUCUGAAAUCAGUAAUAUAUGCCGCCGUUGCCACGGGAUAUUAAACAACUCGAAAGCAACGCAAAAGUGGGUCGUUAGCUCAGUUGGUAGAGCAGUUGACUUUUAAUCAAUUGGUCGCAGGUUCGAAUCCUGCACGACCCACCAAUCGUUCGGUGGAAACGAGAAUAAAACGUGAAGGAUAACGUUGCGUCAGCAACGGCCUGUAGGGCGAGGCGAAGCCGAGUCAUCCUGCACACCACUAACUUCGGUUAGUCAGUAAUAUCCAGCGUAGUAUCGGGUGAUUAGCUCAGCUGGGAGAGCACCUCCCUUACAAGGAGGGGGUCGGCGGUUCGAUCCCGUCAUCACCCACCACUCGGGUCGUUAGCUCAGUUGGUAGAGCAGUUGACUUUUAAUCAAUUGGUCGCAGGUUCGAAUCCUGCACGACCCACCAAUUUUCUAAUUGGUGCCGAGUAAAAAUAUUUCAGGUAGUCCCACCGUAUGGGUCGUUAGCUCAGUUGGUAGAGCAGUUGACUUUUAAUCAAUUGGUCGCAGGUUCGAAUCCUGCACGACCCACCAAUAUACAAGGUGGUAACUGGUAGAGAACGUGAAGGUUAACGUUGCUUUAGCAACGGCCCGAAGGGCGAGGCGAAGCCGAGUCAUCCUGCACGACCCACCAUCCUGAAUGAUUGAAGCAGUAACCCUUAUCCAAGGGGUCGUUAGCUCAGUUGGUAGAGCAGUUGACUUUUAAUCAAUUGGUCGCAGGUUCGAAUCCUGCACGACCCACCAAUGUAAAAAAGCGCCCUAAAGGCGCUUUUUUGCUAUCUGCGAUAUGGAAGAUUCGAACCUGCCGCAGGUUCGGGUCUCANAAGCGAAGCUCCUGAUCGAAGCCCCGGUAAACGGCGGCCGUAACUAUAACGGUCCUAAGGUAGCGAAAUUCCUUGUCGGGUAAGUUCCGACCUGCACGAAUGGCGUAAUGAUGGCCAGGCUGUCUCCACCCGAGACUCAGUGAAAUUGAACUCGCUGUGAAGAUGCAGUGUACCCGCGGCAAGACGGAAAGACCCCGUGAACCUUUACUAUAGCUUGACACUGAACAUUGAGCCUUGAUGUGUAGGAUAGGUGGGAGGCUUUGAAGUGUGGACGCCAGUCUGCAUGGAGCCGACCUUGAAAUACCACCCUUUAAUGUUUGAUGUUCUAACGUGGACCCGUAAUCCGGGUUGCGGACAGUGUCUGGUGGGUAGUUUGACUGGGGCGGUCUCCUCCUAAAGAGUAACGGAGGAGCACGAAGGUUGGCUAAUCCUGGUCGGACAUCAGGAGGUUAGUGCAAUGGCAUAAGCCAGCUUGACUGCGAGCGUGACGGCGCGAGCAGGUGCGAAAGCAGGUCAUAGUGAUCCGGUGGUUCUGAAUGGAAGGGCCAUCGCUCAACGGAUAAAAGGUACUCCGGGGAUAACAGGCUGAUACCGCCCAAGAGUUCAUAUCGACGGCGGUGUUUGGCACCUCGAUGUCGGCUCAUCACAUCCUGGGGCUGAAGUAGGUCCCAAGGGUAUGGCUGUUCGCCAUUUAAAGUGGUACGCGAGCUGGGUUUAGAACGUCGUGAGACAGUUCGGUCCCUAUCUGCCGUGGGCGCUGGAGAACUGAGGGGGGCUGCUCCUAGUACGAGAGGACCGGAGUGGACGCAUCACUGGUGUUCGGGUUGUCAUGCCAAUGGCACUGCCCGGUAGCUAAAUGCGGAAGAGAUAAGUGCUGAAAGCAUCUAAGCACGAAACUUGCCCCGAGAUGAGUUCUCCCUGAGACUUAGAGUCUCCUGAAGGAACGUUGAAGACGACGACGUUGAUAGGCCGGGUGUGUAAGCGCAGCGAUGCGUUGAGCUAACCGGUACUAAUGAACCGUGAGGCUUAACCUU
rnacentral:rRNA from 1 species